rnacentral:rRNA from 1 species
GAUGAACGCUGGCGGCGUGCCUAAUACAUGCAAGUCGAGCGAACAGACGAGGAGCUUGCUCCUCUGACGUUAGCGGCGGACGGGUGAGUAACACGUGGAUAACCUACCUAUAAGACUGGGAUAACUUCGGGAAACCGGAGCUAAUACCGGAUAAUAUAUUGAACCGCAUGGUUCAAUAGUGAAAGACGGUUUUGCUGUCACUUAUAGAUGGAUCCGCGCCGCAUUAGCUAGUUGGUAAGGUAACGGCUUACCAAGGUAACGAUGCGUAGCCGACCUGAGAGGGUGAUCGGCCACACUGGAACUGAGACACGGUCCAGACUCCUACGGGAGGCAGCAGUAGGGAAUCUUCCGCAAUGGGCGAAAGCCUGACGGAGCAACGCCGCGUGAGUGAUGAAGGUCUUCGGAUCGUAAAACUCUGUUAUUGGGGAAGAACAAAUGUGUAAGUAACUAUGCACGUCUUGACGGUACCUAAUCAGAAAGCCACGGCUAACUACGUG